GCCAGUGGUGGUCUCCUCCGAGACGCCGACGAGCCUGUCCUUCAUCUUGUGGUACCUCUGCGGGUCGGUCUUCAGGCCGUCCCUGAUGAUGGUGAGCACGAGCUGGAACUCGGCGUUGUCGGUGGAGGCCGGGUCGGGGAGCUUGCCGGUCUUGGCGAAGAUCUCCUCGGCCUUGACCCCCUCGUGGAUGAGGAGGGUGGCGUCACCGCCGUCGUCGACGAUGAGGUCGGGGCCGCCGCCGGGGCCCCAGUCGAGGGCGCGCUCGGUGCACCACCAGUACUCCUGGAGGGUCUCGCCCUUCCAGGCGAACACGGCGGCGGAGUCGCGGGCGAUGGCGGCGGCGGCGUGGUCCUGGGUGGAGAAGAUGUUGCAGGAGCACCAGCGGACCUCGGCGCCGAGGGCGGUGAGGGUCUCGAUGAGGACGGCGGUCUGGAUGGUCAUGUGGAGGGAGCCGGUGAUGCGGGCGCCCUUGAAGGGCUGGGAGGGGCCGAACUCCGUGCGGCAGGCCAUGAGCCCCGGCAUCUCCACCUCCGCCAGCUCGAUCUCGAGGCGGCCGAAGUCGGCCUGGGACAUGUCCUUCACCUUGUACUCCCGGCCGCCGGUGGUCUUCUCCACGGACAACGCCAUCUUCCUCUGCUGCUCUGCUGCUUCCUUCUUCGGACAGAGAUCUGAAACGCAGGAACAGCGGCGAGAGAAACAGGGGAAGAGAGAGAGAGAAGGGCUUAGGGGUGAGCGAAGGGAAGAGAGGAGGAUGAGGGGUUAUAAAUAGCUCCCGAGGGUGGGAGGGACGGUCAGGAUUCGGAGUUGGGAGUAGGUGGGGAUCUGGUGAAAAAUCAAGGGAGAUCGUUGGCUUAGAACAUUUCGGCGGGCCCCCACGUUCAAUCUCACUCCUCUCGGGUGAUACUUAGGAUGUGCAAAAGAACCGGACGGACUACCCGAAACCAGGCGCACCCACAAAUGAUAUAAAUACUACCGUUGCUUUAGCUUUAUUCAGGUCAAUAGUAUUUUUUUUUUUUUUUCUGGUUACCAGGAACGCCGUACAGCCGGUAGGUAAAUCCUGGACGACAGGUAGAGUCACAAUCACCCUUGCCUGUCAAGUAAGUCGUGGGUUCCUUUCCUUCAAGGCAGACGACGUCGUGGAUCGAACACUGGACCUUUUGUGAGAGGAACCAGUGCCUAACCACUUACGCCGUCACCACGGGUGGUCACGUCAAUAGCAUAUUUCUAUGCAGAUCUUACCAAAAAAGGAUUAAGUUGCUUUAGUAAAUACAUUCAACCAACACCAAUCCUUUUACCCAUUAACAUUUUAGAAGAUUUCACAAAACCUUUAACACUUAGUUUUUGACUUUUCGGAAAUAUAUUAGCCGAUGAAUUAGUAGUUGUUGUUCUUGUUUCUUUAGUACCUUUAGUGAUUCAUAUACCUGUCAUGUUCCUUGGAUUAUUUACAAGUGGUAUUCAAGCUCUUAUUUUUGUAACUUUAGCCGCGGCUUAUAUAGGUGAAUCCAUGGAGGGUCAUCAUUGACUCAUUUUCAAAUUAGUCGUUUUUUAGUUUAGCCUAAGAUAAUGUAUGUGUAACUCAAGAUAAUUUACUUAGGCAAGAUAAAAAUAGACAAAUAAGGUAUAUAUGAUCUACAGGAAUAUGAAAAAAGAUUAUGAUAUUUCGAUUUUAGGGAAUUGUAAAAAAGAAAAAAAAAGUAAAGAGAUCUAAAAGAUUUUUUUCCUAAAAUUCAUGCUUGGCCCAUUUGAUUUAUAUAAUACCUACCUCCAAUAAAUAUUUUCUAUUAUUGUUUUAUUUAAUAAAAAUAAUAAUUAAAUAAUUAAAAGAAAUAUAUAUAUAUAUAUAAAGAAAAUAAUUCUAAAAAUAUAUAAAAAUAAAAAAUGGUAUGAACUUUUCCUUUUAAAUCAAUGAAAUAUUGAUAUUUCUACCUAUGCUAUUCAAUUAUUCGACCUAACGAAUUCGUCCAUGUAGGUUGUGUACAUGUAGAAUAAUGAUAAAUAAAAGGAAGAGUAGAAUUGAUGCGAUUCAUAAAAAUGAAUUGGUUAAUAUAGGUGUGUACAAAUUGGGUAUAUGUAAUGUAAUGGCUAGAAUCCAACUAUUGGAUGUUUCAGUUUCAAAAAUAAAAAAGAAUUCUAGAAUCUGAUUUAAUUUAAGAUACGAAUAAUUGGUAUACAUUAUGAAAGAAACCCAUGUAUAUGUGAUAUUAGAUAUUGCUACUUAUAUAUGAACUAAAAAUAGAUAUGAUCUAAUCUGCUCUAUACUACUAUGAAUUAUGAAUUUAGAUAGGGAUUCCAAUAGAAGUCUUUCCCUUUAUUUCGUCUGUGACUGUUAAUUGAAUGAAUAAAAAGAUGAAAUAAAGAAAAAGAAUGAAGAAUUCAACUAAUGGUUCGCAACAAAGAAAUGGAAGAACAAAAGUCGUAUGGAUUCACAAAAAUCCCAUCAAUAUGAACUAAAAAAGAGAUAUAAAAGUAGUUCGGAUGAUUCAAUAAUAUUAUUCCAUUACUUGAAUUCGGAGUUGUUAGUUACUUUGUCUAGAUGAAUCUUAGUGAUGGAAUAAUUAAGUUAUAAUUCAUUGGAUGAAUAUAUCAUUAGCUAUUUUUUUUUUGGAACAAAUUUACUCCAAACUUUUUUUGUGACAUGAAAAACCCCAAAUUUUACAAACCGUGACACAUUUACCCCACCAAGGGUAUUUUUGUCUUAUUUUUCCUUUUUCGUUUUCUUUUUUCUUCUUCUUCUUCUUCUUUCUUCCCUCCGUUGGCCAUGGCGGAGGGAAGCCGGAGUCGAGCAAGGGGUGCCCUCACCCGACCCAGCCGAGGGUCCCCCUUGCCUGACACCGGCGAGGGCAGCCCUUGCCUGACUCUAGCUUCCCUCUGCCAUGGCCGGCGGAGGGAAGAGAGAAGAAGAAGAAAAAAAGAAAAAGAAAAAUAAUUUAAAAAGUAAAAUACCAAAAUGCCCUAUAAUUUAGGGUAAAUGUGUUACACGGAUACAAGUUCGGGGUUUUUUAUGUCACAAAAAAAAGUUUGAGGUAAAUGUGUCACAGUUGACAAAGUUUGUGGUUUUUUAUGUCAUAAAAAAAGUUUGGAGUAAAUUUGUCACUUUAAGCAAAGUUUGGAAUUUUUGGUGGUAUUUUCCCUUAAUUAUUCAAUCUGGUCAGUAAAUUUUGGUUUAAUGUGUAAGUCAUUCAUGAAUUUUUAAUUUAUUCAAUAUAAUUCUUGGACUUUGGUCCAAUGUUCAAGUAACUAUAUUGAAUAUUUAUUGAUAGUUCAAAGAUUACAUUGAACAUAUUAAAAUUCUAAAAACGAUUGUAUAUUAAGCUAAAAUCCAAAGAUCACAUUACAUUGAUUAAAAAUUCAGGGACGAUAUUAUACAUUAAAUCAAAGUUCAUGGAUUAUUUGUGCUAUUAUCCUUAAAAAUUGUCCUUUGUAUCAGUUGAUGACCCAUUGAAACUUGUUUUGAUUUUGUUUCGUCGAUAAGCAUUCUGAUAAGAAUAGCCUGAUUGGCACACCAUCGAAAGUUGGGCAAAUGAUAUAGAUGGAAUUCUAGUACCAUGCAUCACGAGAAUGAGGUCCGCAACUUUUAAUGUGAUGUCAAUUAUCUCGUUAGCCAUGUUAGGGUAAGUGAUUGUCAUAUUACAACUUUUAUGAAGAUAAAACGAUUGUUUAAGAAUAUGAUUUCUUGUUACUAAGCUAAUACAGACAAUGAAUAAGUUUAUCGAUUGCAUUGGCACACAAGUAUAUGGUAUCAUUAAUGAUCCAGGGAAGAAAAUUUGAUAAAUGAUGGGUAUGUGUUUUGAGUGACGAUAGGAUAUUUAAUAGAUAAUGAUCACCACCAUACUAUAAAAGACAUGCCACCGGCCAAACAUAAAGAUUUGGAUAGAUGAAUUUCACCAUCAAGGCCUAAAAGGACACUAUUGGCCAAAGAAGAUAAAGGGCUUUGAGAUGGGAGAAAUUUGUCGCAACCCUCCCCAGGACGUCUUAAGGAUUUGGGACACAGGUUUAGAGCUAUUGCUUGAAAGAUGGUCCGAAUUGUUCGCUUAAAGAUGGCAAUUCAAGGAAUCCAUGAUUAAGAGUGCAUGCUUUCCCAAGUUCAUACAUCACGUGACAUUAGACUUUGCUUUUUUAUUCUUAACAACCUAAGUUUUCCUAGGAGUCGCCACUGGCUAUUUGGAGUUGGGCUAAAAAUUAAAUAAGAUGUUGGAGGUUCAUCUCAUUUCCUAUGCAAGUAGAGAUUCUAAGCACAUGGACUUGGUUAUGCUAAUAUUUAUUAGUGCCCUUUUUGCACCACUAAAUCGGAAGGUCCUUGGCGUAAGUGAGCAUGCCUUUUUUAUUACCAGUCAUUGUCCUAAAGGGAUCAAAAUUGCUAAGUGAUCAAGGAAAUAUUUUUGUGAGGUUUAUUAUGAACCUAAACGAAACUUAACGGUUCUAGAAAAGAAAUUAACAAACAAGUUAUGGAAAUGCAAUGCGAUAAAGAAACAUUCAAAUUAUGAAAGACAUCAAGCAAGUACAAGAAACGAAAACUCAAUAGAAGUGAGGCAAAUAAUAGACAUGGCCUUUUUAUUUAGCCUUGGGACAUGAACCCAUUUAAGCUUUGGGAUUAGAGACUAUUUCUAUCUUAAGUUAGCUUAGAUUCUACUCAUUAUGAUUGUUAAACUAAUCUAAGCUAUUCUAACUAUUUAUUAAAGAUGUGAUUUUAAAUCUAAUUUGGUUUUAUUGUGUAGAAACUAAUCUAUUUAAGAUAUAGGGUAAUUAACUAAGCUAGCCAAAUUAGAACUAAACUAUACUGAGCUAGAUUAAUCUAUGUGUCGCCUUGGACGGCCAUAGACCCAACAGGCCACCAUUGAUAGUCUUGACCGUCACCUCCUAUAUGCUCAGUGUAUAUUUAUAUUCUCUCCCCAUUUUUGUCUUAAUCAAAAAGUAAUAAUAACGUAAAGGGUAUCACGUAGAAAAUAUGCAAUUCAGCUCAUGUUCUCAUAAUAUCUUCAGAAAUAUAUGAGGACUUAAACGCAAUCUUUAGAUACAAAGUCUUCUACUUGCUUAGGUAAACGUGAUUUCUUUGACCCUGUCAGGUUCUUCAAAAGUGACUUGUAGUUUGUUGGAAAUUUCUUUGGUUGAACUACAUUAAGAAAUACGAUUAAACUCAAUAGAUAAUAAAGCACAGUGAAGGGAAUAUAUGAUACUUAUAAAUUGAAAUUUACAAAACAAACCUAUUCUCUGAUAGAAUCGGGAACUUGGCUAGUUUGAUUCGACGCCGGUUCCAAGUGUAACUGGCCUGAAAUAUUUUUAAAAAAAUGAAUAAAGGGUAAUUAUAUCCAUAUAUAUCAUGUAGCUUAAUUUGAAAAAUAUCAAACACAUUCUUCAAAUGGAUGAAGAGAAAGAUAGUUUCUUAAAUAUGUUCUUUGAGACUGACCAAAAAAAAAAAAAAUGUUCUUUGAGUGAAAAUAUUAUUAUAUGGCUUAUCUAAUUAAGAAUAAAAUAAUAAAUUACCUCAAUUAAAUUUUGACUUAUAUCAAUCAUUUAAUGCAGUAAUAUAUUUCACUUAAUAAAGAAAUCCCCUCAAUAUUAAAAAAUAAUGAAUCAUAAAAAGUAAAAUAAUAUAAGUGUAGCAUUUUAUAAUGUAGCUUACAUAUUUCCUAUUACUAUGAUAACCACAUUAAACUAAGAUAUGUAUUAUUUAUUGGAUAGCUGAUGUAUUUAUUGAUAUACUUAAAUUUUAUUUAUCUUAGACUUGCAGUUCAUCUUACAAUAGCCUAGUCUUCCAACUGGCGUUAUCAUUUCCCUGUACCACGCCCCAAGUUUCCCUGAGGGAAGGCGUCGCGGGGAUCAGACGUGGCUGCCCUCUCCCGUAAAGGAGUGGCCGGGUUAGCCAAUGGGGCCGGAAUCUUUAUCCGAGCUCGGAUCCCGGCCUGGGAGGGGCGUAAGGGGUCACUCUCCCCAAGGAGGUUCUUCCUCCAUUUCCCUCUUGAGCAGUUUAAGGACCUGCUCAGGUCUUGUACUUACCGAUAUACUUAAAUUUUAUUUAUCUUAGGCUUGCAGUUCAUCUUACAAUAGCGGACAAAAAAAUGAUAUAUUCGAUCUAAACUUAGCCGUAUUAUAUGAAAACGAAAUUUGUAUAAUAUUGCAGUGGACAAGGGUGACCACAAAGUGAUUUAAAAUUACUGUCGACGGCCCCCGGAUCAUUAUAUUAUUCACAAAGAGGGAGAUCCAGCACAUCGAAGAGAUUAAAUGGAGAGAAUGAGAAGAAAGAGAUUACUGUGGCUUGGAAAGCCAGUAGAUUCCCACUAACCUAUACCACUGUCUAAAGGGAAGAGAGGCCACACUAUUUUGGUGACCGACGCUCAAUUUCUUUCUUAACCAUCCUUAAUAUCAUCUUUUAGAUAUUAUAUCCACGUAAUUACCAUUAAUUUAUUUUUUCGAUGUUUCUUUUCAUUUUCUCGUUAAUAGAAACAAUUAAAAAAGGAAAACCAAACAGAUAUGUCUACAUUUGUCUUGAAUAGAUUGAUUACAGCACAAAGAAGUCAAAAUUUGAAAUUUAAUAAAAUUCCUACACACAUUGCUUGUCCAAGCAUCCUAGUAGGGAAGGGAACAACAAUGGACUGCUUCCAGCAAGUCGCAUUCUCCCUACUGAGUGCAUCAUGUGCCUUGUGUCGGUGAUCCCUCAUCUUGGGCGACUAACCUCGAUCCGAGGUUGCAUAUCACGUGCCGACACGAAGUGCCGAUAACUAAAAUCCGGUCGAAUUUUGAUUUCAUGUGCCUUUGGUCUGAUAAUCGCUUCGCUUUACAGUGCGAUUCGCACGGCUUUAUCAAAGGAUUUGGAGCCCACAAAAGCCUUUAACAAAAUAUUAAGGUGUUUAGUGAUAAAAUUGCAAUGGACUUGAGGCAAAACUAGUAUUUCCAACUACCCUUAAUUCAAGAUUUGUCCCACUAAGCAUGGCCUUUGGCAUUUUUAGAAAGCUGCUUUCAGGGUCGAUGAAUUUUAUUUUUUUUUCCAAUUUCGUCAUCAUUAAUAUUUCGUAUUUCAUUUUUGCCUCUAGACCACUAUUUAUCUUUUCCAUCACUGAACCGAAGAUACUAGAUGUGAGUUCUGAAUUUAGAUUUGGUCACCGAUCUAGCGCCUUACUGACAAUCGUGCUUGGCUCAUUAGUGAUUGCUGAUGAUGGCCGAGAGACUAGGUUUGCACGUCUAGGUCAACGAUGGAUGAUUCUAGGUCAUCGAGGGUCUGGGUUUUCGAGUUCACACAACCUUCAAUAUUGCCUUGCUUGGCUGUCCGAGAUCGUGUGACCUCAACAUCACCUCGCGUAAUCUCUUUGAUAAUUUGAUCGUCGCCAGAGAUUAAUUUGCUUCGGGCAGGUGUGCUUUCAUGAUGCAUUUGUUAUAUCGAUUCUCUAGUAUCAUAUUUUCUGUUUUUUCCUCUCUUUUUCUUUUUACUUCAAAGCUACUUUGUAAAAAUUAUAUAUUAAAAGUCACCCAAAUAAUAUUUGCUUUGAGCAAAUGGAACUCGAGUCAGAAGAUUUUUGGGGAGUCAUUUACUGAAUCUCUCCCAAACUCACCAUUGAUGUUCAUCAAUUCACGCGGUCAUAUGUAUCUAGAAUAGCUCGCACAUAGCAUGUAUUUUUUUUCAUUCGUAUUAAUUUAGUCAACUGUAUAUUCUAUCAUAGAGGAUAUCUUAUACUUUUUCCCCAUAGGAGGUAUGUGUCACUUUAUCUUCUGUUUUGAUGCAUGGCGCCGACGGCAUGUGGGGUGACUCUAAAUCACAUCUGGACUUUGGAAACAUUUUGGACGCGGCUUUUAGUAGAGUUGGGACCGGCAGGCAUUUAAUGGUACUGUGUUUCCCUUUGAGGGCUUGCGGAUAAAUUAAAUGGUAUUUCCUUUUUUGGCUGACGUUAUAACAAAUAAAUAAAACAGGAAAUUAGAGUUGGAACUUGGAAUUGUGAAGAUCCGUUGGUGCUUCAAGGCGAACCAUUAUAAAAACGAAAAUAUCUGUGGGAAGGUGGGACCUUUUGGUUUUGGUGCAAAAAAAAUAAUCAUACUCCCAAGAUAUGACAAACCUUGGGUGGGUCCUAACGGGGGCAAAUACCUCUCCUAGAUCUGCAUCACGGCCAUUGAAAAUUUGCAUGUGGGUUACACAUGAUGAACGGUCACGAUUGGAUCCAUGGACCCAAGCCCUGCAAGAACUCCCCGAGAACUCCCCACAUGUAUUAGUUCUAAGCAUGCAUUAUAUGGAUCCAGCCCAUAUGUAUGAGAAGCCUUGCCCUCCGUUAGAUGGAUCUCGAUUGGGAGUGGAGACCAAGAUUCUAAUUUACCUUUCUAUUUUGCUAAAGAGAGAUUUUUAAAGCAAUGAGUUAUGAAUAUUAGACAUCACCGUGGAUCCGACAUCUAAAGCCAAAGAACUAAGAUUAGUAAUGGACCAAAUUAUAGAGAUGACACAAGCAGUUCACAAGUGGGAAACCAAAUUAUAUCAUUAAGGAUGACAAUGCAUAACUCGUUCAAAUUUAGUUCAUUCUUAUCUCAUGUAUUUAUUACUAUAGUUAUUACUAGAAAUGAUUAAUUCAAAUUCAAAAUAUUUUGAAAUAGUCCAUUUAUAUCUCAUGUAAUUACCAUAACAAUUAGUAGAUAAACUCUACACAUACAAAAGCUAUCCUAGAGUUAAAGGCUAAUCAAAACUCACUUUCAUACUUAAGAGUUUAAUUUUUUAUAUGGUAUAAGAGCACUGAUAAGAUCAUUGGAAAUAACUUUGCUAUUCCUUCUUUCUCUUCCAUUUUUUGCCCUCUCCUAUUCACAAUGUUAUCUCCCACCUCUACUCUGAUUGAUUGCGCAACACCACCUUAGUCUCAAAUUUUUCGGUGAUAACAUUCUAUUGUAGAAAAGCCAAUUGUUUCUGCUACUUCGCAGCCAGUUCUUCAUGGGACACCUUGAUGGCAUCAUUAUUUAUCCCACUCUAAUCAUCACCCUGACGGGCUCCACUUUUGUUGAUUGAACCCUGUAUGUGAUGAAUGGAUUUAGAAAGACUAACUUGUUCUUAGUUAAAUGAUAUCUUCUUUUUCACCUGAUAUUCUACCCUAUGUGGUUCGAUUAACUACUGUUGUUGAUGUCUGGAGGCUCUACAAACUACCUUUGGAUCUCUAUCACAUACAAUCAAUUAACAGUUGCCAAUCAUCUUCUAGGGAAUAAAGAAUUAAAUGACAUUGUCUUCUGUAAUCUUGGUUAUGAUUUUUCUAACAUUAUUGCUACCUUGGCUAAAAAGUCUAAUUCGAUAACCUUUUGCUCCUUGAUCAUGAGCUUAGAAUGAAGUUUGGCAUAGUGUCUAUAGAGGCAAAUGUUACCAGUUACACCCCUCCAUCAUCCACCACUGCCAUUCAACUACAAUCGAAUCACAAUUUCUAAUUAUCGACCACAAAAAACUUGUUAGGGAAAUCCCUUAUGAUGUUUUGAAGAUGAUAAACUAAAUCAAAUGUUACUAACGUGUUUAAUGAUUGAGUAAUAGACUAUGCAAAUGAUAAAACAUGUAAAGGAUAUUGUUGAAGUCUAUACUUGAAAAAAUCAAAAUAUAGACUCUAUGUUAAAGUUGAACUUAUUUAGACUGUGUCUAAACCUUAAGGCUAAAUGUUCAAAAGCAGAAUAUGUUCAGACUUACGUCCAAAUUAUAAAGUCCGCUUCAGACGGAAGAUACUCAAAUUCUACUUCAGAUGGAAGACAUUCAGACUUUACUUUCGAUAGAAUACACUUAGACUUUACAUACAGAACGAGACACAAGUUCAGAACGUAGCAGAUUCAAAACGAAGCAUGUUUAGAAUAAGACAACUUGACAGAAUGUAACACAAGCCCAAAAUGUAUAACAGCUAGUGAUUUGGUUUGAAUUCUACAUCAAGAUAGAUUUGAUCGACUCAAUUUAAUUGAUUGACAAUUGGAUCUUGAAGACAAGAACUUUCUAAAUGAAGAAACUUUACUUAUGGAAACCAAGAUUUUGUUUGUAUGAGCGAUCAUAAUUAAUUUGGGAUUCUGUUUUUGUCACUUAACGGCUACUGAAUCAUCUUGAUAUAGAUCUAUCCAACAGGUAGAUUGGAAGACGAUCCUCUAGAUACUGUCUAACGGCUAAUUUGGAAGUGGAGGAGUAUUUAAAGAGAUUAAGGACCGAUGAGCAAGUAAGAGACGGAGUGUAGAAUCUAUAAUUCCAAAGUCUGAGUAAACUUUGAUCAUAUACUUGUCUUUGGUGAGCUUAAAUGUUUGUGAUCGUGAUAGAAAUACCAAAAGAGUGACUUAGUGAGAUAGUGUGAUCUACCAUUGAGUAUUUGCACUCAAAGUUGUAAUCUCUUGUUGAUUACAUAGUGGAAUCUAGCUAGAAGGCUGUGUUAGUAUAGGAAAAUGGACGUAAGUUUGAUCUAAGUCGAACCACUAUAAAUUUCGUGUGCAAUCUUCUCUUCUCUUAACUCUCCUUAUUUAAAUAUGUUGCACACUUACAGGUUAUUUCAGAAGUCUGUUCCAACGCAUAACAAAUUAUGAACAUCUACCAAAGAUUGGUGGCUCGUUUAUCAGACUUUGAUCCUUAUUCAGACUUUACUUGCAACUUAUUUUAUUCUGCAUUUAUUUGUCAAGAUUUCUUUUGAACACCUAUUCACCCCCUUUAGGUAUUCAUACUAGCAUCAUCAAUUGGUAUUAGAGCUAAGUGUUUGUUUUAUUGAAGUGUUUUUACUUAUGAGCUAAAGAUCUUUUAUGGCUAUUAUCUUGGCAUUAGGGCUGAUUGAAGGACAUAGCAAUACCAGGCCAUCCUAUUUCGAUGGAAAGAAAUACAACAUUUGGAAAAACAAAAUGAAGGUAUUCCUAAGAUCCAAAGAUCUCUUGCAAUGGGAUGUUGUGGAAAAAGGAAUCAAUCCCAUUGCCGUGUCUACAUCAAAUAAGAAUGGUAAAGAUAAAGAAACAAAAUCCCCUACUCCUAUGUCUCGGACGGAGAUGUCCAAAAGAGAAACUCUUGAUACAAAAGUCAUUUAUUCUUUAUAUUGCACCUUAUCCCCUACUAAGUAUAAUAGAAUCUCUUCAUGUGAAACAACUAAAGAAGUUUGGGAUAAACUUCAUGUUACUUAUGAAGGGAUUGAUCAUGUAAAAGAGACAAAAGUAAACUUCAUGCUUGGUCAAUAUAAAUCCUUCAAGAUGAAGCUAGGAGAGUUGAUUGGAGAUAUGUUAAGUCAUUUCACAUAAAUUGUAAAUGGUUUGGCAUAUCAAGGUCAUCCAAUUUCUGUGCCAAUGAAGGUCAACAAACUUUUGCGAGGUCUCUCAAAAGAUUGGAACCAUGUUAAGACCUCAAUUCAAUAGACUCAGAGGAUUAUGCCACUCUUCAAUCCUACGAAGUAGAACAAAUCAUUGAUGAAGAUCCCGAAGGUAAGAAGUUCAUUGCACUUAAAUCUAACAUUAAUUUUGAUAAUACGGACUCAGAAAAUGACAUGGACGAUGAAGAACUUGCUUUUAUGAUCAAGAAAUUUGAAAAGCUUAGUACAAAAGGAAGGAAGUUCAAUUGGAAGAAAUAAUACAAGCAGAAUGUGCAAAAAAGAACAAUGAAAGAAGAUGAUGAGUAAGGAAAUAUAUGCUUGAUGGCACAUUCAAACUCAGACUCAAAUUCGGAAUUAGAAUUAAACUCAGAAUCAAAGUCUGACUUAGACACAGACUUAGAAUCCAACAAGGAAAUCGAGAUAAGUCAUUCAGAAAUUCUUAUUAAAUUUUUUAAAUAUAUAAAUGAGCUUUACUUAAAUCUCAAAUCUUCUCUUAAAAGGAUCUCUGAACUAAAAAAAAAAAGAGAAUUCAUGGCUUAAGCAACAUGAUCUUUCUUGAAAAGAAAAGUUUGAAAUUUUACAAAAAGAUUUUCUACAAACAAAAGAAAGUCGAGAUUUACUUGUCAAAGAAAAUGAUUCUUUAAAAGAAGAAUUUUCAAAUAUUUUGACAAAAUUUUCAAAUGGUUAAAAAACAUUAGAGCAUAUCAUUUCCAUACAAGUACCUUACUAUAACAAGUUGGGACUUGGCUUCAAUAAGGGAAGUGAUUCUUUAAUAGAUUUUCCUAAAGUCAAUGAAAUUCUUAGACAAAAACCUCAUAGACUUGCGUACAAGAAGCAUUUUUAAAUGAUAUUUACAAAACUUGUUAGUCGAAAUGCCCUCAAGUGUUCAAAUUGUGGAGACUCAUAACACUUUAAUAAUAAAUGUCCUAAAGUCUGGAGAUCUGUUAAGAAAGAUUGGGUAAAAACAACAUACUUUACUCAUUCUCAUGAACCCAAGAAAAUAUGGGUACCAAAGAAAAGAUGAGUUGUUCUUGUAGGUAAUAAAGAAAAAGAAGAAAGAGAAUUUGGUAAGGAAGGUAUAUAUUCUUAAAUCCUCAAUUUAAAUUUUUAUAAAUUCUCAUUAUAUUUUAUAUUCGAUAUAUCCUCUUUGUGCCUCAGUUGAUUCGGACUUUAUUAUGACCGUAUUCUAUGAUUGGUUUUAUUAAGGAAGAAUCGUGUGAUUUGUUUUUAUGAUUCGUAAGUUCAGAUUUGAUUUAAUACUUGUGAUUAUUUUUUAGGGUUAAUACCCUGAAAAACCCCAAACUGGUACACUUGUGACAAAUUUAUCCUCUGUUAGUUUUCGUUAAAUAUUUUAUUAUCAAAUUAUUAAGUUAAAUAACACGCGACAAUUGAUUAGUAUACCAAUUUGGGAUUUUACGAUCCGUUUGUCAGAAUUUACAAUUUUUAUGAUUUUUUUGUGGUAUUAAUCUAAUUUAGCGAAGAGUAUAUUUGUCACAAAUUUAUUAGUUUGUGGUUUUUUGCGGUCGAAUAAAUUAGUUUGGGGUAAAUUUGUCAUAAAUGUACCAAUUUAGGGUUUUUUUAUAGUCAGUCGGGGUAAAUUUGUCACAGGUAUACAAGUUUUGGGUUUUUCAUGGUCAAAAAAAUAGUUUGAGGUAAAUUUGUCACAAGUGUACCAGUUUGGGAUUUUUUAGGGUAUUAACCCUAUUUUUUAUAUCUUGCUUAGAGACAAUUGAGUUUAUUUGGUUUGAUUAUAUGCUCUCAGAUUUGGUCAUAUUUUGUAAAGUGGAAAUAUGUUUCACGAGAUAUUAAUUCAUUAUGCAAGAUAUUUUCCCUUAAGUACUUUCAUAUGAUGAAUUUAGAAAGAAUAUUUGAUUAUUUAUGAAUAUUGCAUAUUUUGCUCUAAUGUCAAGGAAGGAUCCAAAUAUAUGGAUACCAUAAAGGAAAUAAGUUUAUUGCAGGAAACUCCACAAAGGAAGAAUGAUUGCAAAUCUACGCAAAUCAUGGUGCAAUUAGAAAAGUAUCUCAUGCGAAGAUUGUCAAUGAUCAUUUUUAAUCAAUGGUAUAUUUCAAAUAUAUACCUUGGGUAAGAUAAUAAUUUUUUUUUUAUCAUCUCUCCUUGCAAAUUUCUACUCGAUCUUAUGAAGAUUCUAGAUUAUUGCUUAUGAAUUAUAUAUGAUUUAUAUUACAAAUAUCUCUUGUCAUAAACAUAAUGCCUUGCAUUUUUUUACUUAAUUUGGCGUGUGAUAGAAAUAUCUACUUUCUUGGAGGAAGGUAUUAUGUGAUUUUUUUUUUUUUGCAAAGAUUGUUAUCUAUUAUAUAAGAAUUUGCAAGUGGCAAAAGAAUCUUCCAUAUGGAUUUUGGAAAGCUUAACUCGAAAAUUGUAGAAACUAUGUACUAUUAUCUAGAGGCACAAAAAUUAUUUCCUUGCACAAAGUUAUCGCAAAUUAUUGAGCAAGUCCUUAAUGUGUUGUAUGAAAGGUUGAGUAGCUUUGAAUUUAAAUAUUUGAUAAUCUUAUAAAUGCUAUUCAAUUUAUUUAUUUGAAGAAAGAGCAUUAUAUAUUACGUGGAUAUUAUAAUAGCUUAUUUGUGCAAAAAGUUUGUUAAGUUUAUGUAGAUUGAAUUCGAGAAGAGCUUGAUUGAAGAAAAUAAUUUUUUCCUCGAAUUCGAGAAGAGCUUGUUGCUACGAAAGAAAUAAUGAAAAAAUAUUAUGUUCAACAUGCACAAGCCACAACUAGUAUUAUUCGCAAAUAUUAUCUUGAUGACAAGGGGAGAAAGUGAAUUCAAAAUAAAGGGAAAAAAUCAUGAUCAUCUCAAAAUGACAACAAAUUGAGGGGGAGCAUUGAUCAAUUAUGGAAAUUUUUUUUUGAAUUGAUUGUGAUCUUGAUUAUAAUAGAAGGAAGGAAAAGGUAAAUGUGUCAGAAUUUGUUAAGUUCUACAAAAUCCGGUUAGUGCAUCUUUUAUUACCUUUUAUUAUUAAUAAAUCUCUUAUUUACAUCAUUAUUUUAUUAUGACAAAAAAGUAAGUGAAUUUUAUAAUACAUCUGUGAUUUUUAUUGGAUAUCUGCUGAUAUAUAUGAUCGAAGUGAGCUAUAUUACAUUUUUUUUUUUAUAUUCGACUUACUUUGUAAAAGCUAAUUUUUUUUGGAAAUUGUGUAUCAUGCAAGAUAUAUUUGUUAUAGUUUUAUAUUCUCUACGUGAUACUAUUUCCAUUGUUAUCACUAUUUGAUUAUGACAAAAAGGGGGAGAUAAUAUAAAUAUGCAUAUGUGUUGAUAUUAGUUAUUGAACUGCGAUUAUCUUUCCAUAUAUAAUUAUACUCAAUCUAUUUGCUAUCUUCUGCUAUCUUUUGAUUUGAAUUAUAUUGUUCUUUAAGAUUGCCCUGAUUUAUUAAUAUUUUUAAAAGCAUGUUUACACAUCUGCAUAUUUAGAGAUUGUUUUAUUAUCAUAAAAAAUGAGGAGAUUGUUAGGGAAAUUCUAUGAUGUUUUGAAGAUGACAAAAUAAAUUAAAAGCUACUAACGUGUUUAAUGGUUCAGUAAUAGACUAUACAGAUGAUAGAACAUAUAAAUGAUAUUGUCGAAGUCUAUAUUUGAAAAACUUAGAUGAUAGACUCUAUGUUGAAGCUGAAUUUAUUCAGACUGUGUCCAAACCUUAAGACUAAAUGUUCAGAAGCAAAAUAUGUUUAAAUUUACGUCUAGAUUAUAAAGUCUACUUCAGACGGAAGACACUCAGACUUUACUUUCGACAUAACAUACUCAGACUUUACAUACAGAACGAGACACAAGUCUAGAACGUGACAAGGUCUAGAAUGAGACACAAGUUCAUAACGUAGCAAAUUCAGAACGAAUCAUGUUUAGAACGAGACAAUUUGACAGAACGUAACACAAGCCAAAAACAUAUAAUGACUAGUGAUUUGGUUUGGAUUCUACAUUAAGAUAGAUUUGAUUGACUCAAUCUAAUUUAUUGACAAUUGGAUCUUGAAGAUAAAAACUUUCUAAACAAAAAAACUCUACUUAUUGAAACUAAGAUUCUAUUUGUAUGGUCGAUUAGAAUCAAUUUGGGAUUUUGCUUCUAUCACUCAAUGGUUACUGAAUUUUCUUGAUACAAAUAUGUCUAACAUGUAGAUUGGAAGACGAUCUUCUAGAUACUGUCCAACGGCUAGUUUAGAAGUGGAUGAGUAUUUAAGGAGAUUAAGGACCAAUAAGCAAGUAAGAGAUGAAGCUUAGAAUCUAUAAUUCCAAAGUUUGAGCGAACUUCAAUCAUAUAUUUAUCUUUGGUAAGUUUAAACGUUUGUGAUCGUGAAAGAAAUACCAAAAGAGUGACUUAGUGAGACAGUGUGAUCUACCACUGAGUGUUUGCAUUCAAAGUUGGAAUCUCUUGUUGAUCACAUAAUGGAAUCUAACUAGAAGACUGUUAGCAUUGGAGAGUGGACAUAGGUUUGAUCUAAACCGAACCAUUAUAAAUUGCGUAUGCAAUCUUCUCUUCUCUUAACUCUCCUUAUUUAAAUUUGCUGCACACUUAUAGGUUAUUUCAAAAGUCUGUUUUAUCGCAUAAGAAAUUUUGAAUAUCUACUAGAAGUUUGGUGACUCGUUUAUCAGACUCUGAUCCUUAUUCAGACUUUGCUCGUAACUUAUUCUAUUCCAUAUUUAUUUGUCAAUACUUCUUUUAAACAUCUAUUCACCCCCCUUUAGGUGUUCAUACUAGUAUCAUCAAAACUCUCAAUACCGUUUGGCAAGGCAACCAAUGCAAUUAUGGAAGCCUAGGCAAUCAAUCCAAAAACAAGAAAGACCAAUGCCAAAUUUGUUGAAAAUAUAACCAAACAAUUGUAAGAUAUUAUUUCAUGUAUUCACAGUCUAACAUCAAUACACCUCAACCUAUUACUGAUAUGGUUGGGAUUCUUCCUAUCCUAUCGCAACAAGACUAGUCUUCGGAUACUACAACUACUCACCAUAUGACGCCUGACAUUGUCAGCAUGCAGUUCUCUACACCAUAUAAUGAUAAUGAAUCUCUUUGUAUAGGUAAUGGAGCUAGUUUAGACAUUGUUAAAGUUGGUUCUUCCACUCUUAAAACCUUAUUAACAGAUCUUUUAAUUUCUCAAAUAUCAUUUAUGUCUUUACUAUUACACAAAAUUUGUUUUGUGUACACAAUUUUACACGUGAUAACAAUUGCUUUUUUUUUUAGUUUCAUCUAUUUCACUUUGUUGUGAAAGAUUUGCAUACUAGAACACCAUUACUCCAUGGUUUGCUUAAGGAUGGACUAUAUUGGCUGCUAAGUUUUUAUACCACAUCUCCAUCUGCCAAAAUCAUUUCACUUGAUACCAAAGUGGAUCAUCCCCAUCAAAGCAAAGUUCGCUAUUUGAUUUAUUCAAACAUUUGUCACUUUCUACAUUUGAUUUCAACAAAUGUGCUUCACGUUUAUUAGACAAAUCUCAUAAAACACCCAUAUCUCCUACUCAUAGCAUUAGUAAAGCGCAUCCUGAUUUAAUUUUCACUAAUUUACGAGACCUGCUCCAAUUAAUUUUAUUUUCAAUUAUAAGUAUUUUGUUGUAUUUGUUGAUGAUUUUUAUCAAAUGUACUUAGUACUAUCCUAUUCAAAAUUAGUUUGUGAGCUCUUCCAUUUUCAAAAAAUUCAGGACCAUGACUGAGAAACAACUUGAAAAGUCCACCAAAGCCGUACAGUCUGAUUGGGUGGGGAAAACAAAACCCCGUAUGAAAUUUUUUCAAAAGAUGGAAUUCUCCAUCAUGUGGCAUGUCUACACACUCACAAGCAAAAUGGAGUAGUUGAGUGAAAAAUUCACCGUAUUAUUGAUAAUGGGCCAACAAAUUUGUCAUAUUGUUGAUAACGGCCUUACAUUAUUGACCCAUACAUCACUUCCUCUUAAGUAUUGGCCUUAUACUUUUGAAACCACAAUUCAUUUUAUUAACAUAUUACUUGCACCACUCUCAAACAAUAACUCACCUUUGCAAAAACACUUUUCCAUUAACAACCAAAUUACAAAUUUUUGAAAAUAUUUGGUUAUGCCGUUUUGUCUUUAUUAAGGCCAUAUAAAUUCACAUAGGUUUUUACUCUGUUCUACUCAAUGUGUGUUCUUAGGAUAUAAUCCAUUACAUGUUGGUUACUACUAUUUAGAUUACAAAACCAGAUGCAAGUAUAUUGCAAUCAUUUUAUUAAAAAUAUUUUUCCAUUUGUCACACUUAGAUCACACCCUUAUGAAAUACCCUCACUAUCACAUCUUUGGCUGAUGGUUUCCUCCGUUGGUAUGUCCUCCCACGCAAACCAUGGUAUUAAUGGCAAUAUUCUACCUUCUACCUCACCUUUUAAGAGUGCGUUUGAUUUAGCAUUUGGAAAGCCCCUUCGGGCCUGAAAGCCCCUUGGGAAAAAUUGGGGGUGUUUGGCAACCAUUCCCCAAGGAGCUUUGAGUUGAAAGUUGGUCAUGGGAAGAUUGAAAACUUAAUGUUAGUAGAUAAUAGUAUUGAGCUUUCAGCAUUUUCGGAAUGCUGAGGGGCUCUAUAAAUAAAAUUUUGUGGAGUUCCUUUUUUACCCUAAAAAAAUCAUUAGAAAUCCAAACUUACCCAUUUUUACAAGAACAAAACCUAGGGUUUCUCCUUGUGGCUCCUCUAGAAAUGCUCACGCUCCCAACCCUUCACACUCACUUUGCCGAGAGCCCCGCGAUGAUGUCGGCUUCAGCAUCGACUUUGAUAUCGAAUCCACCGUCAGAUCCGCCAACGACACUGUCUCCGACACCUUCAGCAUGUAAGCUCUCUCUCUCUCUCUCUCUCUCUCUGAUUCGAGUGUAUUUGAGUCCAUAUGGAUUGGAUUUGGGUGGCUCACGUGAUUUUUCUUGUAGAUUUGUGAGAAUUUGAGGCUUGACUAGCUUGUUUCGGGGUGGAAACAUGUCAAGCCGUGGCUGUUGAUGAUGGACGCUUGUGAAUGUCUCUUGUAUGUGCGUUCACAUUGUGGUGUUGUCUUACGGUGAACCUGUGGCUAUGGAUACUGUUCUUCGCUCGUUAUUAUCAUUUUUCAUUUCUACUUGGCUUGACUUAGUAACGUUUUAGACUCGGUAAUUAGCUCAGGUGUGCUAAGUUCGAUUGGUGUUGUUGUUUAGCAAAGACGAUUUCUUUUGGUUUCUGUGUCUCGGAAGGAAUUUAUUCCUCUAUUAAUACUUGGUUGGUUCUUGACCAUAUAUGUGGCAGGGAAAGUGUUUGGAGUGUGUUCGUGCCUAGGAACUUGCUUGUUAUCCUAAAUUAUAUGUGUCUAAUGGCAGACAAGAGUUGGGUGAAAUCGUGUCAUGGGACAAUUUGGAGAUACAUAUUUGUAGAAUUAUGCAUCUAAAUGAUUACAACAAUGAUAUGUUAAGAUUACAUGGGUAAAUGUCGUAUCCAGUUGGAUUGGAUCCCGGAAAAUGUUCAUUGCUUUUUUAAUCCAAGGCAGGGAAGUCCUAAUUAGUGUUGCUGCUUGUCUUUAAAAGUAGUCCUAAUUUAUCUAUCUCGAACUCGAUGUUUAUCUGGAUAACUUUGAUUUAUCAAAAAGGUUUCAUUAAUGUUCUCCUUGCUUUAGCUAGACUAUUAGAAUGUUACCAUGUGCAGCCUCCUUUUUCUUAUGUGCUUGUGUAACUGGAAGAUACCUUUGUUUUGUUAAAGCUUGCUGAUUUUUCUGCCAUUUGCAGAUAAAAUCAGGUUUUUGCUACUUACUAUUGACAAAGCCAAUCUGCAAUUUUUUUUAAUUGGGUAAAGUCACUAUCGAGUUUGCAAGCUUAAGUUGAUUGCCAUUUUCCUAUUGAGUUCAUGAAGUCAUUUUCUUUUUUUGUUUUCAUGUUUGCAUAACAUGUCAAUUUAACAUUUGCUUUUUCGCUCCAGCAAAAAAGCUUCACCCAUAUAGGCUACCAUGAUAUGAGUAAUCACAACGGUAUAUGCCUUCUUUGUGGGUUGAUGUUUUGCUUCUCAAAUUUAAAAGUCAGUCCCUUCCUCUGUCGGCUAUAUUACAUAUGAUUUUUUUCGUGAGAAUUAUGAAAUCCCUUCUCACAAUAAUAUGGAUUAUAGUUUUUCUCAAAUGGUUUGAGGAAAAAGCUUAUAUGAAUCUAUAGCUUGGCUAAUUUAAUAGUAUCUCACACUAACCUCCAAAAGAUAAACAUUUGGGUUGAAAUGGAGUCCUGAAAAGGUCUAUCCAAACUUUCUAAUGAAUUGAAAUCUAUCGCAUUUUCAGAUGUGAAUCUCGGCAGAAACCUAAAUAGAUGUUAGUCGAUAUUAACAUGUAAAUUAAUGAUAUAAUGGAGUUAGUAGUAAUCAUUACAUGAAAAAUGUUGACUCAUGAGUUCAAGUUGACAUCUUUUAAAGUUAUUGUCUCUUGACUACUCACUUUUGAAUUUAGCUUGAGGUUAUGAAUAUCUAAUACCGAAAAAAGUAGUUCAGUGUGGAUUGUAUCUGUUGUCUAUUGUCUUUAAAUUGAAAUUGCGAUUUUUUAUGUUGCAUUUAUUAGUAGAUGGCAAGUUCAUUAAAGGAAAAUGCAUUUUAGAGCCUUAAAGAUGUUGAAACCUUUUGCAAGUUGUGUGUUGAACAAAUUGACAAUGACAAUCGUCUUGCAAAUAACAAAAGAGAUGGAUGGACAAUUAUAAUUAAGAAGUUUAAGGAUUUAAGGGGCAAAAAGUAUGAUAAAUGUCAAAUAAAGAAUAAGUGGGAUAAUCUUAAGGAAGACUGGAAAAGAUGGAGGACAUUGGUCCUAAAGGAAACUGGAUUAAGAUGUGAUCCAUAAAAGAAUACCAUUGAUGCAAGUGAUGAAUGGUGGGAGAGGAGAAUUCAGGUUAUUUCCCAUUCUUUUGUUAUUUUUUUUUAAAGUUCAUCUUUUUUUUCCCUAUAAAACUCACGAAAAUGUUUAUUAUAAUAGGAAAAUCUUAAGGUUAGAGCUUUUAGAACAAAAUGUAUACAUCCGAAUCUUCAAAUUUUGUUGAAUAGAAUGUUUGGGGAUACUAUUGCUACUGGAAGCAUCACAUGGAAUCCUGCGCAAGGUUUAUGUAUUGAUGAGAAUGUUGUGACCACACAAUUUGACAUCGGUGCUUGUGCAGAAUUUAUUGAUGAUAAUAUAGAGGGCGAUAUGGGUGAAAAGACUAGUGAACAACCUUGAAGUAAUAAAAGAACGUUGCAAAGUUUGGUGAGGCAAUCUUAAGGAAAGAAACAAAAGAAAUUAAAUAUGGUUAAUAAGUUAGCAACGCAAAUAGAGAGAGUUUGUUCAGUUAUUGAAAGUAGAAGUCAUGCCAAAGAGUUUGAUCUUUAUAAGGAACUUAUAGAGACAUUGAAAGCUAUACCUGAGAUUAAGCAAGACUAAGAGUUAUAUCUUUUUGCACUAGAUUAUUUUUCAGAAAAGAAAAAUAAUAGGCAAAUCUUCAUAAACUUGGAUGGUGAUCAAGAAAAGUCACAUUGCUCAAGUAUAAGUUUGCACAGCGUAAUCAUCACUAGGAUAUUUGCUAUUUAUUCGAAUUUUUUCAUGUGUAAUGUUGUUAUAAUAUGAGACCUAUUUGCAUUACUUAUUUGUAUUAGUUGGUGAGACAUAUAUAUGCUAUAUUGUCAGACUUGUUUUCAAUUGGUGUUCUUUUUAUUGAGUGGAGUUUGCAUACAUACAUACAUACAUAUGGUAAGUGUUUUUUGUUGAUUGAUGAUUUAGAUAAUUUGUUAUUCUCUUAUUCUAAUUCUAUUUUGUUAUUUUAACUAGUUAUGGAUGAUUCUCCUGAAAGGGAAAACUAUGAAAAAGAGGAAGAAGAAUAUUAAUAGCUUUAUGCAGCUACACAUACCUACGGUGUUUAUCAAGCAACAUAUGGUCAAAAAAUACCGUACAUAACCUCAUCAUAUACAUGAAAUGCAUGGUUAAGAGAAUUGAUAGAUAUGGAUGUUAAUCCUGAAAAGUUUUAUCGAAUGUUUGAAUGAAUAUAACUGUAUUUAAGAAUUUAAUGAAUGAUUUAGUGAUACGAUAUGGUUCGCAAUGAUUUAGGAAUAUUGAUGUUAUAGAAAUGCUAUGAUUGCUUUUAUUUAUUUAUAUUUUAGGAUAUAAUAUUGGUAAUAGGUUAGCACAAGAGCGCUUUAGCAUUCCUGGGGAAACUAUAUGCAAGUUAUUUAGAUUAAUUUUGGAUAAAGUAUGUGAUAUGGGAGUAGAUUUGAUCCAACCAUCCGAUUGGCAAUUCAAGGAAGUUCCAAAGAAGAUCAUAAAUAAUAUAAGAAUUUUUCAAUAUUUUAAGAUAAGUUGCGAUCAUACAAUAAAAACUAUGAAUUAAAUAUAAAUCAAAUAAUAUUUCUAUUCUUGUUUUAGGAUUGCAUUAGAGUUAUAGAUGGUAUUCAUAUUUCAGCGGUGGUAUUUACGAGUGAGCAAUUUCGUUUUAUUAGUUGAAAAGGAACAUCGACGCAAAAUGUAAUGGCCGUGCGUAAUUUCAACAUGGAAUUUACUUAUGUUUGGGUUGGUUAGGAGUAAACAACUCAUGAUACUUGUAUCUUUUAUGAAGCCAUUAGGAGACAUGAUUUAUAAUUUUCUCAUCAGUUUGUUAAUUAAUGGUUUUUACGCAUUAAUAUAUAUAUAUAUAUAUAUGUGUGUGUGUGUGUGUGUGUGUGUGUGUGUGUGUGUGUGUGUGUGUGUGUUAUAUGUUGAUUAAAUUUACAACAUUUUUGUGUAAGUUAGAUAUCAUUUAUUUGAAUUUCAAUGAGGUCCUCAAUUGACGAGUUAUAAAGAAGUGUUCAAUCGUCCUCACUACUCACUGCGAUCAGAAAUUGAGCGAGUUUUUGGCGUAUUGAAGAAGAAAUGAAAGAUUCUAAAGAGUAUAAUAUAUAAAACAAGUGAAAAUUGUGAUAGCAAUAAUGAUUUUGUGUAAGUUAGAUAUCAUUUAUUGUAAUGAAAGUAUUCCUUUUGUAAUUGAGAAAGAGAGCACGUAAAUUUUUUUCAUUUUAUUUUUUUAGCAAAAAAAUUGUUUACCCAACAUCUUUAAUAUUGUUAUCAAAUAUAAAUUAAAAAAGUCGCAAACAUUUUUUUUAAAUUUUAAACAAAUAAAAAUUAAAUUGUUUAGAUUAAUCAUCAAAGGGACUUUGCAAAUGUACUUUAUACCAAAUAGCAUUUCUUUCAAAGUUGCUUUUUAAAAUAGGAUUUACGAAACAGUUUUUGCAUUUUUCCCAAAGUCCUUUAGGCUAAACUGCUUUGCAUUUCCUCAAUGAGCUUUCCAAUUGCUAAACCAAACGAACCUUAAUACCCUCCCCACCUACAUUUGAAAAACCAUCACCAAUAUUAUCAAAUAUUAAUUAUGCUUUAAAGGCUAACAUGUUGGUUUUUAGUUCGUCUAAUGCUGAUACAAGUUCUAAUAAGGCUCUUUCAGAUACCUCCUCACAGUAGACUAUUGUGAUACCUUCACAAUCGGUUUAUCAAAAACCAAGAACCUAUUCAAUGCAACUGCGUCAAAACCCAAAGUCCAAUUCUAAAUAUCCAUUGUCAGAUGUAAACUUGACUGAAAUAAGCUCUAAAGAAGAACCAUGGUGUUUCACCAAAGCUAAUAAACAUGAAAAAUGAAGGGACACAAUACUUCAAGAAUUUAAUACUUUGUUGCAUAAUGGAACUUUGGUUCCAUCGAAUUCCAAAACAAAUGUAUGGGCUCCAAAUUGGUUUAUCAAGUCAAGACACAUCCAGAUGAUUCGAUAUAUCGAAACAAAGGGCUAUAAUCAACAAGACACAUCCUAGUGGCCAAGGGCUACAAUCAACAAGAAGGUAUCAACUAUACGAAAACGUUUAGCCUUGUUAUUAAAACAACCACCAACUAUAUAGUUAUUUCAUUAGUUUUGACAAAGAAAUAGAAACUUCGAUAGUUGGAUCCGACAAUUGGAUGUUAGUAACACAUUUUCAAAUGGUAACUUGAUUAAAGAAGUCUAGAUAAACCAGGCCCAAGGUUUCAUUGAUAAAGAAAAGCCAAACCAUAUAUGCAAGCUACAAAAAUCCUUACAUGGAUUGAAACAAGCACCGUGGGCUUUUUAGAAUCACCGGGAUUUAUUAAAUAAAAAAACCGAUUUUUCCCUCUUUAUAUCAGCCCAAUUUCUUUACUUAUAUGCUCAUCUGUGUUGAUGACAUUAUUAUUACAGGAGUUCUCCAUAUGGGACUCGGGCGAACUUAAUUAUUUCUUGGGAAUUGAGGUACUCAAACAUCCAUCAAGGCUCCUCUUGUUACAAUAGAAGUAUGUUACAGAUCUCCUCUACUGAACCGAAAUUGAAGGUGUUAGACCGAUUUACAUGCACAUGGCUACAAAUACCAGUUUAAUUAAUCAAGAUAAGCCAAUUGAAUAUGCUAGUUUGCACAGGAGCAUCAUAGGAGCUCUUCAAUAUGCCACCCUAACUCAAUCAGAUAUCUCUUAUGUGAUAAACAAAGUUUGUCAAUUCUUAAAGGAACUAAUAGAAAACCAUUGGAGUGUGAUGAAACAGAUCCUACACUACUUAAAGGAAAUCGUUUUGUAUGGAUUACUCAUCAAUUCCCAAUCCACCACAAAACUCCAUGCAUAUAGUGACGUGGACUCGGCCGGUUGCCCCAUCAUUAAACACUUAAUAGGAGGUUAUGCAAUUUAUAUAAGUCAAAAUAUGGUGUCUUGGUCAACCACAAAGCAGCAUACCAUUGCACAUUCCUUAACCAAAUCUAAGUAUCAAGCAUUGUCAAACGCCACGGCAAAAGUGAUAUGGUUGCAAUCGUUGUUAGAGGAAUUGAGCAUCUCUCAAUUGAAACUCCCCAUCCUUUGGUGUGACAGCCUAAGGGCGAUGUAUCUUAUAGUGAAUCCACUUUCCCCUGCUAGAACAAAGCAUACUGAGGAAAACUUUCACUUUAUCCUCCAUUUAGUGUCACAAUGCAAACUUGAGGUUUGCUUCAUAUCCACAUGUGACUAAAUAGCAAAUAUCUUCACUAAGCCUCUUACACAGUGUCGUGAUGAUAUGCCCAAAUCUAAGUUGAAGAUCAUCUAACUUGUGGGGAUCUGUUAAGGAUAACAACGCAUUCAUUUAAAUUCAAAAUAUUUUGAAUGAUUCUAUUCUUAUCUCAUGUAGUUAUUAUUGCACUUAUAAUUAUAACAGACCAUUUAUAUCUCAUGUAAUUUCUGUAACAAUUAGUAAAUAACCUCUAUAAAUACAAAACGCUAUCCUAGAGUUAAAGGAUAAGCAAAAUUUAUGCUCAAAUUUAGAAUUCAAUUUUUACACAUAUCAUAAUGAUCUUCGAAGAAACCAAUCCAUCACCAACUUUACAGACUUAUACCAAUUCAUAUCUAGAUAAACUUAUUUGGGAUCAAAUCUAGGUUAUACAGCAUGUGGAUCCCUCUAGUACGAGGGAUGAAAAUAAGAAUUUCGAACAUCACAUGUAAAAAAUGUGGAAGGAUAGAUUUCCGCAUAUGAUUAGACAAAACAUGAUUUUCUUAUAUUAUAGUGAAUAUGGUAGACUGUGCAACUAUGAUUUUCCUUUAUUAUAGUCAAGAUGAUAGAUUGUGCAGUAUAUAGGUUGUAGUUGGCAAGAAACAACGCCGCAUCUCAGUACCUACAAAGUAAAGCAAGGAUAAACAUAAUUUUUGGACAGUAGUAGCCUAUAAGCAUCGUUGAACAUUUUCCUAUGCAAACAUAUUCCUGAUAGGUGUAUCGGCUGCCAAUGGAUGUAGUUUUAACAGCCUACUUUCUUUUGGUGGCAUCAACGCAAUGUUGGAAAACAUCCCAUGAGAUACCAAAAAAGUUAAAAACCUAUUAUACUAAUUCAAUCAUAAACAUUUCAAAUUAGCCAAUUUAGUCCUAAAUCUUUUGAUAAUUUAUUAAUAAGAUCAUUUUGGGCAAUUUUGACCGGAUAUCUAUUGGACUUGGUAAAUUAAAAGAAAAGGGCUUUGCCUAGCGCAAGUCACGCUCACCGAGUGCAUCAUGUGCCUAGAGUGCAUGAUCACACACCUCGGGCAUCCUACCUCGAUCUUAGGCCGCAAUGUCACAUGUUGACACUCAAUUCGCUUUAAUGUUCAUAAAUUAACAUGAGUAAUAUGAUGCUAGAAUAGCUCGUUUGUAGAAUAUACUUUUAACAUUUCAUUCGAAUUAACUCAGCUCUAUAUUAAAUCAUAGGGGAUAUCCUGUACCUUUUUCCACCGUAGAAGGUGUGUUGUACUUAAUUUUCUUCUUAAAUGUAUAACGCCGACGGAAUCUCGGGUGCUUAAUUUUCAACGCCAUUGCGCUUUUCUACAAGGCUUGUGGGUGAACUAAAUGGGCUUCCAUUUUUGGCUAACUUUGUAAUAAAUAAAAACAGGAAAUUGGAGUUGGGAAUUGGAAUUGUGAAAGAUCCGUCGGUGCAGCAACGCGAAAGCAUUAUUUAAAAAUGAAAAUAUUUGUGGGGAGGUGGGACAUCUUGGUCUUGGUACACAAAAUUGAACAUAUUUUCCCAAGGCAGAGCAUAUCUUGGAAGGUGGGAUUUAAUGUAUUAACUGCAAGCAUGGACGCAAAUGCUGUUGUGUGGUCCAAGGGGAGCAAAUACUUGCUUGGAUCUACAUCGUGGCAAUCGAGGACGCGCGAUCUACGCGCUAAUCUCACAUGACGAAUGGCCACGAUGUAUUCGAACCCAUGUGUCAGAGCCUUUCCACUCCCCAACCUCAACCCCCCAAAAAAAAGGGGGUUGCACCGUGCCUGUUGGUGGGAGCACAUGACUUCCCAAUCCCCAUACACAAGCGAGUUAUCCACCUCACACAUUCAAAUCUAAAAUAUUUUCCUAAAAAUGAUCGCUUUUAUAAUUGAAAAUAAUUAAUUAAUAAAAAUAUUUUAAUUAUCGAUAAGAAUUUUUAUUUAAUUAUUUUCGUGGAUGAUAAUUUUUUUUUUAAUAAAUUCAUUUUUAUAAGCGAUUAUUUAUAAAAAAAAAUGUUUAUCAAAUAAUUCAUUUUCUACUAAACAAAAUGAAAUUUUAAGCAUCCAUUCUAUAUAUCCAACCCACAUGAGGGAGAAGCCCUUUGCCCUCCAUCGUUGUCGAUUCUUUAACUCGUACUAAGGCAGGUAGAUGUAGUGGGGAAAUGACUGAAAACGCAUUUGCGCAGAAAAGGACAACGGCAAAAGCCACUAUGUUUGACUUUUUCUUGUAUCUCCACCGGCUCCACGAUGUCUUAUAAAGUGGCAAGAAGGUUGGUGAGCUGUCGGGACUUCAAUUAGAACAUCAUAGGCAAAAUCAAGGGGAUAGAUACGAGCUCGCAUCAAUUUGACCAAGUCAAGCAAGGGAGAAAUGAACAGAAAUUCUUGAGAAAAUUAUAAUAAAUAGGUGAGCAUGAAAUUCAACACCAACCCCCGCCAUCUCUUCUAGCCAAUAAGGAGGAGCCUUGGAUUUGACAUGAUCCCAUUCUCGCGUAUCGAGUUGGGUGCCUUAGUAGGUGAAUUGAUGGAAGAAUAAUAAUGAUUAACUUUUUAAUUUAGGAAGAUGAAAUGCCACCCACCUCACAACAUCAAUAUUAAAAUCUUAAGAGGACUCAUUAAGUUUAUUGCUUGUGACAAUAUUUUAAAUAUGAGGUGCCACCAAUUUCCAUCGUUUUGAAGACCUAUAGGGAAAUUGCCAUUGAGAACUCACCAACCAUGGACUAUCGUUCAUUCAACAAAUCUUGAAUCACAAAUGCUUCGAAAUUUUUUAUUACUUUUUGCUGGUACAUUCUUAUUUUAUUUUUUUAACAAUAACUGACACUCUGUAAUGAUAUAUGAUGUGUGGUCAAAAAAUUUCUAAUGUUAUUGAAAAUUUUCUUGAAGGAAAUGGGCUCUUGGGAGACUGAUUUCUCAUCAUAAGGUAUUGUAUCCGAAUGUAGUUUACUGCAAUUGCUAUAUAAAGUAUCAUGUGUCAUAAAAUAUUUCAAGAUUCGUAUCUGAUUAAUGAAAUUCAGCCAGAAGGAUUCUAUUCUUCAAAGCAUUCGCAGACAUGCUUAAACCUCCCGGCUGCGGGAGGUGAGGAUGGAAGUGUCGACAUCAGUGGAGUUGGUGUUCAGGAAAUGAUCCGGCUGAUGUCCCACCUUCCGAAUACCAACCCCCGUCUCAACUUUCUUUUUAUACAGUUUCCCCGACUUUUUUUAUGUUCCACCAACCCAAAAAUGGCGACAUGCUGGCGACAACAUCGCUUGAUUUUUUGCAUCACGUUGAUCGGGGUUGGUAGGGUUUAUCGAGGAGUCUGCAAAGAGCUCAGUGGAAAAUAGAACUUUUGCGGUCGCAAAAGCUACCAAAAUCGCUCAAAAUUCGGGUUUUGACCAACUUCGUGACUCUUCCCCAUAUGGAUAGAGCGGGCUACGUUUGGCUGCGCCUCUCCUUUCACGGAAUAGGAAUGCCUAUAGAUUUCGCUUGGUUCCACUGGCGAGAAAUCAAUGAAGGAUUUUUUUUUCUUUGGAAUUGUACUUCUUUCAUUUUGUUUGGAUGAUUAAAUGUUUCAAACGUUCGCAAGAAAGUCUAUAUGACCCACAUCCAUUAUGUGACAGAACCCAAUGUCAUUUUCAUGUAACGGACAACUAGAUCUUUAAAAUGAAAUGAUUAAAUAAUUUGUACAUUUCUCACAUCUCAAAUUUGAAAUUAUAUCUUUUCAUUUUUUUUAACCGUUUAGAUUCGUAAAAUGAGUCAGACAUGUAAACUUCCUCUCUUACUUUACACAAUUUGAAGCUAUUUCUUUCAGAAACUUUUUAUACAUGCGCACAUCUUCUUUUGUUGGUAUUGAAGAAAGAGAACUUGGGCGAGAGAUUUUUGCUCGGAGACUGUACGGCACACAAGGGCCAAAAAGAAUGGGGUCGACAAGAGAUCGCCUUAUGGGCUCAACUCACAAAGAAUAUGGGCUAACUUGUUAAAAUAAUACACAAAAUCACACUUUGCCCGCUUAUAGUAAAUUCUACCUCCUUGCAAUUUUAUCUGGCAACAAGCAUGCGGCUUUGCUAGUAGGCAUUGGAGUUGAGGUCGGAAAGUAUCAGAUUUAGGGUUUGAUUUUUGUGAGCACUGCAUACACACACAUUUAUAUAGAAGAGAGGAGUGAGAAUAAAAAAAAGUGCAUUUGUUUUCUACUUGAGACCCUAUAUACACAGUUAAAUUGAAAUUAGAAAAUAAAUCAUAAAAACGAUUUAUGUGAUUCGAGCAAUAUAUCUACAUUCAAGAGGAUAGAAACAAAUCCACCAUAUAAUUAAGCAAUACAAUAAAUGUAAGGAGCAUACUUAAUCAUUUAGGGUCCAUUUAUUUCGCGGAAAAUAGGUCAUUUCUGGAAAAUAUUUUUUCAGAAGUCAUUUUUCAGGAAAAUGAUAAUAUUUUUUGGUGUUCGGCUAAAAUCUGAAAAUGUUUUGAAAAAUAUUUUUUGGUGCUCAGUAAGAAAAAUAUUUUCUAAGACUUCACCACUUAGGCAUGUAUCACUUAUCGACCUAUAAAUCUAUCAAAUACGAACUUGCCUUUAAAUUCAGGCAAACUUGCUUCAUAUUUUUGUUCCCUCAUUGUCACCAAAUGCUUAUCUACUCUAAAAAAAAAUGUUCGUAUGGAUUUUAAAAAGAAGUAAAAGAGAAAAGAAGCAAAACAUGUACAACCCUAAUGAGAAUCUUUCAAUUAAGUGGCCUGUUCUCCCUCGUGUCUUUUGUGUUUUAAUAAAUAAAUAAAUAAAAUAAGCAAAGCACGUAGAGCCAUUUACUUGAGUAAUAUAUAACUGCAGGGUAGAGUAAAUAAAGAAAAUGAUAAGCAAGAGUGCAGAGCACGGGCUUGAGAUUGACGAGCUCGAGGUUCACCUGGCAACGGCUGAUGACUAGCCAAGAAAGAAGAAGAUGGGAAACAAAGAAAAGAAAAAAAAAGAAAAAAAGAAAAGAAAUUAAAAAGAAAAGGGAAAUUAAAAAUAAUUCAAAUUAAAAAAUAAUUCGAAUAUGAAAAGAAAAGAAGAAGAAGAAAGGGGAUGAAGAAGUGGUGAUUUGUAAAUGUGUGAGAUAAGAGAGGUCAAGUGAGAAAAAUGUUUUCCACCUUUGAAAAGUGGAAAACAUUUUCCCCUAAUCUAGAAGGCUUUUUUUCUUUAAUAGAAAACAUUUUCCUCAAUGAAUUCAUUUUCCGUGAAACGAACGCCGGGAAAUCUGGAAAACGUUUUUCCGGAAAUUAUUUUUCGCGAAACGAACGGAGCCGUAGACACCCAAUACUUUCCAAAACAUAAUUUCCAUGCGUCUCCACCUUUGAUGUUCUGUAGUCAAUUUACAACCGCCACACAGCACCACUCUACAACGGACCUCUAUAAUGAAAAAUCUACAUUGCCACUCACUCCAUAGCCCCUCAUAAGCUCUUCAACCAUCACGGACUUUUUCUACAGUCUAAUAGUCACUUAAAUCUGAAAAGUUUGAGAUAUGUGAUUGAACGGAAAAAAGUUUAGGUGCUCGAUUAUAAAUAAAAGAAUCGGUAAUACCAAAAAUAUCAAACUGGUAAAUUUGUGUUAUAUUUAUUAUAAAUUAAUCUUCUUGUACCAGUUUAAAAGUUUUUGUGGCAUUAGCACGCGCCGUAAAUAUGAAUAAAGUUCAAAUAGUUGCAAUAUCAUUAUUCCUUAAUUUCCAUAUAAAAUGAGUCCACGACAUUGCUUUUUUGCGGGAAUUGGCGAUCAUUAGCGCAGGAAGGAUACAUUAAACUUAUAAAAGUUUAAGAACAUUUAAUUGCAAAUAUUAAAUAUCAAAUGAGCCAAAAUGCAUAAAAAGUGAAAGUUAGAGGACUCAAUUAAAAUAUCCUAGAAUAAUUGAAUGUAGAGUAAUGAGAUAAUUUUUUGUUGAGUGUUAAUAUGAGCCACUCAUUAUAAUAUUUAAUCAUUGUCUUCCAUUUUAUCAUAGUUUGCCACUUUUAAGGGAAAACUAUUGCUAGCACCUAAAACAAUAUGUUGAUUUCAUCCUCUCCUUCUAAAAAUUGAUCUGGACAUCAUCGUAGAACAAUGAAAAAAUGACACAAAUGAAUUCUGAAUUUUGACCUAAUAUUGAAUGUGAUCCAUAAAAUUUUAAUUUGUUUAAUAUGAUCCUUAAAGUUUAAUUAAAUUUGCAAUGUUCUUCUUGAACUUUUGAUUUGUUCGAUGUGAUCCUUAAAUUUUUUAUACAUGUUCAAAUUAGUCUAUGAACUAUAUGAAAAUAUUCAUUAUUUUCUUUAAAUUUGAAUUUAUGAAAAAAAAAAUUGAACAUCUUUAUAUAAUUCAGCGACUAAAUUGAACAUAUAUCAAAAGUUCAUGAAUCACAUUGAACAAAUUAAUAAUUUAUGGAUUACAUUGCAUUAAAGUUCAGAGACAACAUUUAACAAAUUAAAAAUUAAUGGAUCACAUUGCACAGUUGAUCAAAAUUCAGUGACCUACAUUCAAUUAAUGGAAGAAUAACAUUAAAUACUUUCCUAUAAUUCAAGAACAAAAUUGAAUAUGUAUAAAAAAUUCAUGAACCACAUUAAACAAAUAGAAAGUUUAAUGAUAACAUUGCACCAAAAUUCGGUGAUCAUAUUAAACGAAUCAAAAAAUUUAGAGAUCUCAUUGCACAAUUGAUCAAAAUUAAGCGACAAUUUAUAUCAUUUACACUAAAACAAUUUAUGAAAAUGGCCCAACGGCAAAUUGCCGAUAAUUUAGCUGAUCAGCAGAACGAUAUUUGAUGUUUCUAGAUGUCAUGGUCACCUAUAACUCAUGUCGUGGAAUAUCGAAAUAGCCAAAAUGAGAUCGGCCUAAAUUACGAGAAGCAAAAUCUGCUUUUUACCGAAAUUAAGGAUUUGGAAGUUCCUCGCAUUCUUCUAAUUGAAUGCCCAUUUUUCGAAUUUGUUUUCUCGGCAAACUCCAAUUUUCUGAUUGGAUGCAGUGGAAAUUUGUUCCUAAAUUAUCAUUUAUUAAUUUCUCAUGUACCUGGGACCAUCACAUGCCGUAUGCUUGAAGAUAUGCCCGUGACGUACUACGGCAUAGAUCAGCAAGAAGUAAAAGAUACUUAACACCAACUAAACUCACUAAAAUCAAAAGGGGGGAAUUAAAAAAGAAAAACAACAUGACCAUUGAAUUAAUCAGAAAAUUUACCAAACCACCGCGAUAAUGAAACCCAGAGCUUGUAACAUCUCUCAUUUUCCAGAGGGACAUAUAGCGAGAGGGGGCACUUUAUGAAAGGAAAAUUUUACAAUUUAGGAAGGGAAAAAAAAAUGAUGAUGAUACUAGUAGUAAUACUAAAGGAUGAUGGAUGAUUCUUCUCUUGGGAUCUAGUCCUUGUACUUCAUCUCGGACAUGAGGAAACCGGGCAUGUCGAAGGAGCCGGAGAACUUCUCGACGUCGGCCUUGAGGGUCUCCAUGUCCUUGUUGUUCACCAGACCCUUGUUGAAGUCCUUCAGCAGCUUUCCAUGCUGCUUCUGGAUGUCCAAGGUGAUGGUCACGGCCCGGUGGAGGAACUCCCCGAUUUGCUCGAAGUCCUUCUCGACCAAGCCCCUGGAAGUCAUGGCAGGAGUUCCUGAUACAAGACAAGCCUCUUAAAUCAGACUUUGCAAUUAUCAUAGAUUCAAGCUGCCCCAUUGCCCUGAAUACGAGAACAGAACAAAAGGGGAAAAAGAACGAAGUCGUGCAGAAGUUUUCAUUACCAAUUCGUACACCUCCAGGUGCCAAGGCACUGCUGUCGCCAAAAACAGCAUUCUUGUUCACGGUAAUAUCGCAGAGAUCGCAAAGCUUCUCGACCUUGUUGCCUGCAAGAGUGGUAUUUGAAGUUAUUAGAAUCUAUACAUAACAUUGUUGUCAGCAUCAUCAAGUCACUCAAUCAAACUGAUGCAAUCUUACCGGUCAAUCCAAGAGGACGAAGGUCCCAAAGAACAAGGUGGUUCUCAGUUCCACCAGUCACAAGCUUGUAGCCUUUGCUCAUGAGGUAGUUCCCAAGAGCAACAGCAUUGGCCCUGACUUGCUUAGCAUAGGCCUUGAAUCCAGGAGACAUGGCCUGCUUCAGGGCAACAGCCAGAGCGCCAAUCUGGUGGUUGUGCGGGCCACCCUGAAGAGAGGGGAAAACCGAGAAGUUGAUCUUGUCCUCAAAGUCGUAAACCGCAUCCGCAGGCUGCCCCUUCUUGGCAGGCUUAGGGCCCUUCCUGUAGAAGAUCAUACCGGCUCUCGGACCCCUCAAGCUCUUGUGGGUUGUGGUCGUGACGAUGUCACAGUACUCAAAUGGGUUUGCAGCUUCCUACAGCCAGAAACAAAAUUGCACCGACGAUAAGAACAUUGGGAACCUCGCAACAUUAUAUUCACAUCAUCAAAGCAAAUGUACUGCAAAUGCAAUGCAAAUGCAAAGAAGAAUGACCAAAUCGAAAUCAUUUGAUUCGAGAAGAAACAGAAUUGCGAGCAGGACAAAAGACACACUUCAUUUCAUUCAAACUGCUAUUGCAACAUCCAGAGACACAAAUCAGGGCCUACAAUGAAGAGAUCACGAGUAUUUCGAGAGGCAUAGAAUGAAAUCCCCAAAGAUCUACAAAAGAUUGAACAUUAGGUCACAAUUCCACAAGGUUGCAUGAACAGAUCAAACACAGUAAAUGGUCAAAAGCUUGACAGAGAUUGGCAAAGCUUGCAUGCACAAGUGAGAAGGACAAACAAUGGAAUGCAGUCAACCCAUACUUAAUUCACAUAAAUAUGAAUGCCCAAGCGAGAUCCAACAAGCUAAGGACGCAGUCAACUCGUGGAGACCCAGAUCCAGCCUCGUACGCAUCGCACCGCAUCAACGAAAAUGCAGAUCCAACACCGACGACUAAACCCGCACGCGACAAAACAUCAAACACCAUGCGGGCAGAUCCAAUUCGAAAACAGGGGGGGCAAAGAAGAUACCUGAGCGGCGACGAGGCCGCUGAUGUGGGCCAUGUCGCAGAGGAGGAGGGCGCCGCACUUGUCGGCGACGGAGCGGAAGCGGGCGUAGUCCCAGUCGCGGGGGUAGGCGCUGCCGCCGCAGAUGAUGAGGCGGGGGCGGAAGUCGAGGGCCUUCUCCUCGAGCUUGUCGUAGUCGAUGUAGCCGGUGGAGGAGUUGACCUUGUAGGGGAGGCUCUCGAAGUAGAUGGAGGUGGCGGAGAUCUUCUUCCCCCCGGAGGUGUAGUAGCCGUGGGUGAGGUGGCCGCCGGAGGGGAGGUCGAGGCCCAUGAUGCGGUCGUGGGGCUGGAGGACGGCGGUGUAGGCGGCGAAGUUGGCGGGGGAGCCGGAGUAGGGCUGGACGUUGACGCCCCAGGAGGUGGGGUCGAGGCGGUAGGCCUGGAGGGCGCGGGAGCGGCAGAGGUUCUCGAUCUGGUCGAUGUACUCGUUGCCGCCGUAGUAGCGGUUGCCGGGCAUGCCCUCGGAGUACUUGUUGGUGAGGGCGGAGCCCAGGGCCUCGAUGACCGCGAAGGAGGUGAAGUUCUCCGACGCGAUCAGCUCGAUCCCCCGGCACUGCCGCCGCUUCUCCUUCUCGAUCAGGUCGUGGAUGUCCGGAUCCACCGCCUGCAGCGGCGAGUUGCCCCAUGCCGUGACGGGAUCCAUGGCAACGGCGCUUGUUGGGAA
rnacentral:lncRNA from 1 species